rnacentral:rRNA from 1 species
GCGACAAGUUUCUCGGUGGCUAUGCCGAGAGGGUCACACCCGUUCCCAUCCCGAACACGGAAGUUAAGCCUCUCAGGGCCGAUGGUACUGCACGGGUAGCUGUGUGGGAGAGUAGGUCGCCGCCGGGAUUUA